CCUCUCGCGGCUCGCCUGCACUUCCUCGCCUGCCUGCCUGCCUGCCUGCCGGAGCAGCGCGCGUCAGCACGCUUUUUGCCCGCCUCGCCAGUGUGUGGGAAUGUGGCGGUCGCCGCGAGGAGCCCAAAGCUCGGGGCUCUGACGGGCACAUGCUUCGUGCCGCCGGCUCCUUCCGCUUCUCCCGCCUCGCCCGGGAGCUGCGAAGAAGGAACCGCGGCAUGAAGAAGAAGGAGGCGACGGCGGGCGCGGUGGCAGCACCACCAGAAGCCGCGCUAAGAGCGGCGGCGGCGGCGGCAAGACACCGCGUUGCCCGCUCUGGUCGAGCGUGUUGAGGCGUUCCCGAAGGGACACUUGCUGAUUCUAGAUCUUGAAAGCUACUGAUGUGAAUUCAUUGGUGUCACCAUGACUGAAGCCUUUCUUUCGGUUGUCCUGAAUUUGACUGAAACCCAUGCACUGGCUAACAAUGUGACCAGCAAUGCCACUAGCAAAUGUUCUUUGACCAAAACUGGUUUUCAGUUCUAUUACUUGCCAGUUGUCUACAUUGUAGUCUUCAUCACUGGAUUCCUAGGCAACAGUGUGGCCAUCUGGAUGUUUGUCUUCCACAUGAGGCCAUGGAGUGGCAUCUCAGUUUACAUGUUCAACUUGGCCCUAGCAGACUUUUUGUAUGUCCUGACACUCCCUCUCCUAAUAUUUUACUACUUCAAUCAAACGGACUGGAUCUUUGGAGACUUCAUGUGCAAGCUGCAGAGAUUUAUCUUUCAUGUCAAUCUAUAUGGAAGCAUCUUAUUUCUCACAUGCAUCAGUGUGCACAGAUACACUGGUGUGGUGCAUCCUUUAAAAUCAUUAGGGAGACUGAAAAAAAAGAAUGCUGUUUACAUCAGUACCCUGGUCUGGUUUAUUGUGGUAGUGGGAAUCUCUCCCAUCUUCUUUUACUCUGGGACUGAAGUAAAAAAAGACAAAACCAUGACAUGCUAUGACACAACAGUAGAUAAUUACCUGCGGAGCUACUUUAUUUACAGCAUGUGCACCACUGUCUUCUUGUUUUGCAUCCCAUUCAUUCUGAUCCUUGGUUGCUAUGGAUUAAUCGUGAAAGCACUGAUUUACAAAGAUUUAGACAAUUCUCCACUUAGGAGGAAAUCAAUUUACUUGGUUAUUAUAGUGUUGGCAGUAUUUGCUGUGUCUUAUCUUCCUUUCCACGUGAUGAAAAACUUGAAUCUACGCGCCCGGUUGGAUUUUCAGACUCCGGAAAUGUGUGCGUUUAACAACAGGGUUUAUGCUACCUACCAAGUAACUCGAGGGCUAGCGAGUCUCAACAGCUGUGUGGAUCCUAUUUUAUAUUUUUUGGCUGGAGACACUUUUCGGAGAAAGCUUUCCAGGGCAACUCGGAAAGCCUCAAGACGAAGUGAGCUCAAUGUGCAAUCCAAAAAGUCAAGUCGUCAGAGGCUCUCUACUGUAUUUUCAUGCAGCAAGGUUCUUCCCUCUGCAUCCUCUGGUCAUUCCUACAUGACACUAUAAAUAGGCAACAUUUGGCUGAAUGGAAAUCAACAUUUUUGCAAGGGGUCACUAUGCCCAAACUGUUCCCACUAUGACUACCAGAUCUGGCCUGCCACACUUAACAAUUAGCAGAGAAUAAUGAAGAGCUGGAGUUUUCUGUAUCUUAUCUACAUCUGCCAUGUAAUGGUCAUCUGGAUUUUGCUGCUCAGAUCUGACAGCCUUAGUUCCAACCACUCUGAACAGAUGUAUUUGUACUUUGGGACAGAAUUUUCACUGGAGUAAGAUUUUUUAUCUCAGCAGAGUCCUUGGAUGGAAGAUCAGAAAAUUCCAAGGCCUCAAGGACUGAGAAAAUGGAGUGGGGGUGGGGAAACUAGAAGAAAACAGUUGCAAAUUGUUUCCACACUGUUUCCAAAAAAUCUACAAGGAUGUCUAUACAAAGUCACCAGGAAGAAACUAAGCUUGACUUGAAGAUGACUUUUCAAUGGUUUUUCAAGCAUUGGGAACCACAUUCAAGAUUUCCAGGAACUUCCCUCUCAUUGUAUAAAAGAGCACAUUAACUAAAGUUAUCAGCUGGUGCUCUGUGGUGCAUUUUCAGCUUUUAAGGCAGAGGAGUGUUGUAAUGAGCAGCCUUGUCUUUCUAAGAAACCCUAUACAAUGUUGCCAGAAUAGUGGUUUUCAAACAUAAUGCAUUAUUCUUCCUUCAUUAGCAGUUAGACACUGAUCACCUUGUUGAUGUGAAUGGUACAAGAAGAGAAUCCCUCACAGGGAAGGAGAUGAAGCUUGUGGUAAUUGUUUUUUUAGCCAACACUGUUUAUUCAGUGGAAGUUUUACAUUUGCAUAUUUUGUGAAUCUAAAGAAUUAAAACUUUUGUAACAGACUAUUGUAAAGAAAGAGUAAAGGCUGGUAAUUGCAACAUUUUUUUCUCUGAUUAACAAUGCCUGAUUAACAAAGCAAGCAACAAUAAAAUGACUUGACUAUGACUAUGGCAAAUAGCCAGGGUUCCUUAUAAUUCAAAUCACAGCCAGUCUGGUUGUCAUUAACAAAGACAAAAUUGAAAUAAUAUCAUGUGGCAGUUAUCCCACAUUGGACUGAAAUGAUUCACCAGUUAGAAUGCAGUUGAGUGGAAAAGAGCUUUUCUUAAAUUGAUUUAAGGUUACAGAAUCUGUAGAUCAUUAACCUCUGUACUAAAUUAAUACAUUUUGAGGAACUGGAAGUUAUUUAGGGGGGUAGAAAACUAACUCUGAUUUUCUUAGGUAAGGGUUCCAGGUAAAAUGCAAAAUAUUUUUGCCCAGCAUUUUGGAUAGGAGGUUUAUUAAGUGUCAUUAAGUUUAGAUUAUUAUGAUAAGUACAAAGAAAAAACAUAGAAGAAAGAGUGCAUAUUUGGAUAGAGUAGAGUUACUGUAUGGUCAUAUUAUUUUAUUUUAUGAUAGAAAAAAGAAUACAAUUUUUGGCAAUAUCAGUUUAAUUCAAAUCUCAAAAUACAGUACAGCUACAAUUUGUAAUCCAACAUUUCUUUCAAGUUAUACAUUUGUGUUGGGCUAAUUGCAGUAAUUCUUGGCUUGCUAAAGAAGCUACCACUGGCUAAAUUGAUAUGUGAGAUAUGAAGUACAUUUUUCAAAGUACAAUGGCUCAUGUUACACAAGCCAAGACAAAAUCAAAUGAACCACAGCUUAUCAUAACAUGGCAAUCUCAGCAAGGUUCAUGGCUGAGUCACAACUGUGAAUCAGUUAAAUUGUUUGUUUCUCAGAACUGCCCUUUAAGCUAUAACUUUCUCUUUAACCUGAAGGAAUAGCCCUUAGUUUGGGUGACUGCUCACUUCCCUAUCUUUUCAGAUAAUCUGCAGCACAGUAAUAUAAAAGGCAAUUGCUUUUUAACCAUUAAGUUAAAUUAAGUACUUACAGGCAUUACAAUUACUGUAACUAUCAGAACAAUAAUUACAAGAACUAAACCUUUGCUACUUCAUAGAUUGAUUGCUGUAACAAAAAUGGCAUUGCUGCUUUUCAAUAUUGAUUACUGUAGCAAAACGGCAUUGCAACACAGAAAUGAUAGCUCUUGCACCAUUGUGUCUCUGGUUGAAGCAUCAAGGUAGACUAUUUCAUUAUGCCUCACUGCUUCCACAAAAAUGUUUCCUGCCCUAAACUUACCAUUCAAUUUUAGUGCAUCUAGGCCUUGUUGUAUAAAGAUGGCUUAUAAAGUUUGACCAAAGGAAUUUUACAAUCCUAAUUAACGCCAGCCUGAUCUGUAAUGCCUGGAGAUGUACAUCAUAGCAGAUGCAAUGCAUUUAGUAAUCCAUCUGAAAUGCCAGUAUCACUCACCUGAACCUUGGAAGCAUUGCUCUUUUUUAAUCCUCUCCCUACUUUCAGUAAUGAAAAUGACCAAGAUAUUUUAUUAUUUUUAUAUUCCUGACUUUGUUCAUGGAAUUCCUGGCUAUUUUCCAGCCUCAUGGUUGGGAUUGUUUUUUCUUUUUUUCUGUUCUCCUCACCCUACUUAAUGUGGCUAUUUUAAAAUGAAAGUUUCAGAAAGAAAUUCCAUCUGGGGAUUUUCAAAUUAGUGAAAAAGGUCUCUGUUUUAUAUAUCCACCAAUGUAUUAGGUAUUUCCAGAUUAACUGGAAAUCAUAAUUUGAAAACAUGCAGUGUAUUGUCAGGUUUGCUUCACAAGCAUGAAAAAGGUUAACUUAUGGUAUAAUUUGUAAGCCCCUCUUUAAAAGAAACACAGCAUUUACUCAACUACACCAUAAAAUAAAUUGUGCUACAAGAACAGAAAUGUUAUUCUGCCAGAAUUUUCAAGUAGUGUGUUCUGUCUAAUGAUAUAUUUUUACAUUUCUCCCCAUUAUAUUGACUCCUAAGUCUUAACAGACCAUGGGAUCAUCCUGUUGUAUGUAUGAUGCUCACCCUGUUUUGUUUAUCCAGAGAUUGUAAAUAUAUACAUCAAUCUUCCUCAUUUAGUGUCUUUCACAUGUCAAAUUAUGUCAUACUUAGCUGGGAUUGAUUGAAAACCAACAUAUUUGUUGAAUAGAAAAGCCUCCAAAUGCAGCAUAUCCUAAAAACCAGACACUGUGAAGAAACCGUCGGACAGCGUUACUACUUUCAUGUCCUCCAAAAGAGUUUCUUAGAUGCAUCUGAGCAUGUAUGACACAGAGCACUGAAAUAGACUGGCCUAAAACAGUAGGUUUUUUAUGACGGGAGUAGACUGAGUAGAGAUUUAUUCAGUUUUUUAACAAUCAAGUGAAGUCGUUAAGGCACCACACUAGAUACUGGGAGACCAAGUUGUAGUGCUGUCUUAGGCACACAGCCAGCUGGAUGACUUUGGGCCAGUCACUUUCUCUCAGCCCUAGGAGGCAGUCAAGGGCAAACUACUUCUGUAACCUUGCAAAAAAAAAACAAAA